rnacentral:rRNA from 1 species
GUCGGAAUUGCUAGUAAUCGCGGAUCAGCAUGCCGCGGUGAAUACGUUCCCGGGCCUUGUACACACCGCCCGUCACACCAUGGGAGCCGGUAAUACCCGAAGUCAGUAGUCCAACCACGUGAGGACGCUGCCGAAGGUAGGAUUGGCGACUGGGGUGAAGUCGUAACAAGGUAGC